rnacentral:misc_RNA from 1 species
CACCACUCAAGCUCUGCUUGGUAUUGGGCGCCGUCCUUCACCGGACGCGCCUCAAAGACCUCGGCGGUGGCGUCUUGCCUCAAGCGUAGUAGAAAACACCUCGCUUUGGAGGACGGGACGUUCGCUCGCCGGACGAACCUUCUGAAUUUUCUCAA